AUGAACGCUAGCUACAGGCUUAACACAUGCAAGUCGAGGGGCAUCAGGAAGAAAGCUUGCUUUCUUUGCUGGCGACCGGCGCACGGGUGAGUAACACGUAUCCAACCUGCCCUUUACUCGGGGAUAGCCUUUCGAAAGAAAGAUUAAUACCCGAUAGUAUAAUGAUUCCGCAUGGUUUGAUUAUUAAAGGAUUCCGGUAAAGGAUGGGGAUGCGUUCCAUUAGGUUGUUGGUGAGGUAACGGCUCACCAAGCCUUCGAUGGAUAGGGGUUCUGAGAGGAAGGUCCCCCACAUUGGAACUGAGACACGGUCCAAACUCCUACGGGAGGCAGCAGUGAGGAAUAUUGGUCAAUGGGCGAUGGCCUGAACCAGCCAAGUAGCGUGAAGGAUGACUGCCCUAUGGGUUGUAAACUUCUUUUAUAUUAGAAUAAAGUGCAGUAUGUAUACUGUUUUGUAUGUAUAAUAUGAAUAAGGAUCGGCUAACUCCGUGCCAGCAGCCGCGGUAAUACGGAGGAUCCGAGCGUUAUCCGGAUUUAUUGGGUUUAAAGGGAGCGUAGGUGGACUGGUAAGUCAGUUGUGAAAGUUUGCGGCUCAACCGUAAAAUUGCAGUUGAUACUGUCAGUCUUGAGUACAGUAGAGGUGGGCGGAAUUCGUGGUGUAGCGGUGAAAUGCUUAGAUAUCACGAAGAACUCCGAUUGCGAAGGCAGCUCACUGGACUGCAACUGACACUGAUGCUCGAAAGUGUGGGUAUCAAACAGGAUUAGAUACCCUGGUAGUCCACACAGUAAACGAUGAAUACUCGCUGUUUGCGAUAUACAGUAAGCGGCCAAGCGAAAGCAUUAAGUAUUCCACCUGGGGAGUACGCCGGCAACGGUGAAACUCAAAGGAAUUGACGGGGGCCCGCACAAGCGGAGGAACAUGUGGUUUAAUUCGAUGAUACGCGAGGAACCUUACCCGGGCUUAAAUUGCAGUGGAAUGAUGUGGAAACAUGUCAGUGAGCAAUCACCGCUGUGAAGGUGCUGCAUGGUUGUCGUCAGCUCGUGCCGUGAGGUGUCGGCUUAAGUGCCAUAACGAGCGCAACCCUUAUCUUUAGUUACUAACAGGUCAUGCUGAGGACUCUAGAGAGACUGCCGUCGUAAGAUGUGAGGAAGGUGGGGAUGACGUCAAAUCAGCACGGCCCUUACGUCCGGGGCUACACACGUGUUACAAUGGGGGGUACAGAAGGCAGCUACCUGGUGACAGGAUGCUAAUCCCAAAAGCCUCUCUCAGUUCGGAUCGAAGUCUGCAACCCGACUUCGUGAAGCUGGAUUCGCUAGUGAUCGCGCAUCAGCCACGGCGCGGUGAAUACGUUCCCGGGCCUUGUACACACCGCCCGUCAAGCCAUGGGAGCCGGGGGUACCUGAAGUACGUAACCGCAAGGAGCGUCCUAGGGUAAAACUGGUGACUGGGGCU
rnacentral:rRNA from 1 species